rnacentral:rRNA from 1 species
ACCAUGGUGCUAACGGGUAACGGGGCAUCAGGGUUCGAUUCCGGAGAGGGAGCCUCAGAAAAGGCUACCACUUCCAAGGAAGGCAGCAGGUACGCAAACUACCCAAUCCCGGCAAGGAGAGGUAGUGACGAAAAAUACGGAUAUAGGACUCACUAAAGGCUUCGUAAUUCGAAUGAGUACAAUUUAAAUCCUUUAACGACGGUCAGCUGGACGGCAAGUCUGGUUCCAGCAGCCGCGGUAACUCCAGCUCCAGAAGCGUAUAUUAAAGUUGUUGCAGUUAAAAAGCCCGUAGUUGGAUCUGGGUCGCAUGGCUUAAUGCCGUCGCUCGUGGGUCUGGUCUGGUUACUGCUGCGUUGAGCUUGCGAGUUGGUCUCUUGGUUGUGCUUCCUUUCUGCUGCCUCUAUUUACAGGUGUCAGCGUGACUGGUGGGCUUGCCUGCUAGUCUGUUGGCAUGAUUCUUGGUGCCUUUAUUCGGGUGUCGGAGGCGGACAGCACGUUUACUUUGAACAAAUUUGAGUGCUCAAAGCAGGCCUAUGUGCCUGAAAAUUCUUGCAUGGAAUAAUGGAAUAGGCCUUCGGUUCCAUUUUGUUGGUUUUUGGAUCCGAAGUAAUGGUUAAGAGGGAUGGACGGGGGCAUUCGUAUGGCGGUGUAAGAGGUGAAAUUCUUGGAUCGCCGCCAGACAAACUACAGCGAAAGCAUUUACCAAGGUUGUUUUCAUUGAUCUUGAGUGAAAGCCAGGGGUUCGAAGACCAUCAGAUACCGUCCUGGUUCUGACCAUAAAAGAUGCCAACUGACGAUCCGUGUUGGUUCUUUAUGUGUCCCCACGAGCAGUCCCCGGGAAACCCUUCAAUCUUUGGGCUCCUGGGGGAAGUAUGGUUGCAAAGCCGAAACUUAAAGGAAUUGACGGAAGGGCACCACCGGGAGUGGAGUCUGCGGCUUAAUUCGACUCAACACGGGAAAACUCACCCUGUGAGGAUUGACAGAUAGAUAGCUCUUUCUUGAUUCAGUGGUUGGUGGUACACGGCCGUUGUUAGUUAGUGGAGCGAUUUGUCCGGUUAAUUCCGAUAACAAACGAGACUCUUGUCUGCUAAAUAGUAUGCCUGUCCUCUGUUCUCGUGCAGGUUGCGUUGUCCGUUGUCUACUCGUGGGGAAGUGGUUACGUUGACCGGCGGGAGCGGCGCAGGUACUUACUUCUUAGAGGGACAAGCGAUAUUCAGUAGCACGAAAUUGAGCAAUAACAGGUCUGUGAUGCCCUUAUAUGUCCGAGGCUUCACGUGCUCUACAGUGACAGUUCCAGCGAGUUUGGAAUCCUGGCCUGAGCAGGUUGAGUAAACUGUAUCAUAACCGUCGUGACUGGGAUCGGGGCUUGCAACUUUUCCCAGUGAACGAGGAAUUCCUGGUAAGUGCAAGUCAUAAGCUUGCGCUGACUACGUCCCUGCCCUUUGUACACACCGCCCGUCGCUACUACCGAUUGAAUGGUUUAGCAAGGUCCUCGGAUUGGUGCCAUUGUAUUGGCUUCGGCCGCUCAACCGGUGCUGAGAAGACCACCAAACUUGAUCAUUUAGAGGAAGUAAAAGUAGUAACAAGGUUUCUGUAGGUGAACCUGCUGAAU